rnacentral:rRNA from 1 species
UGAGGAAUAUUGGACAAUGGGCGCAAGCCUGAUCCAGCCAUGCCGCGUGCAGGAUGACGGUCCUAUGGAUUGUAAACUGCUUUUGUACAGGAAGAAACAGUUCUACGUGUAGAACCUUGACGGUACUGUAAGAAUAAGGAUCGGCUAACUCCGUGCCAGCAGCCGCGGUAAUACGGAGGAUCCAAGCGUUAUCCGGAAUCAUUGGGUUUAAAGGGUCCGUAGGUGGUUAGAUAAGUCAGUGGUGAAAGCCCAUCGCUCAACGGUGGAACGGCCAUUGAUACUGUCUGACUUGAAUUAUUAGGAAGUAACUAGAAUAUGUAGUGUAGCGGUGAAAUGCUUAGAGAUUACAUGGAAUACCAAUUGCGAAGGCAGGUUACUACUAAUGGAUUGACGCUGAUGGACGAAAGCGUGGGUAGCGAACAGGAUUAGAUACCCACGUAGUCCCUGAGCGGGCUGGCAAGGCGCAU